rnacentral:rRNA from 1 species
UCCAGACUCCUACGGGAGGCAGCAGUGGGGAAUAUUGGACAAUGGGGGGAACCCUGAUCCAGCGACGCCGCGUGAGUGAAGAAGUAUUUCGGUAUGUAAAGCUCUAUCAGCAGGGAAGAAAGAAAUGACGGUACCUGACUAAGAAGCCCCGGCUAACUACGUGCCAGCAGCCGCGGUAAUACGUAGGGGGCAAGCGUUAUCCGGAUUUACUGGGUGUAAAGGGAGCGUAGACGGCGAUGCAAGUCUGAAGCGAAAGGCGGGGGCCUAACCCCCGGACUGCUUUGGAAACUGUAUGUCUGGAGUGCAGGAGAGGUAAGUGGAGUUCCUAGUGUAGCGGUGAAAUGCGUAGAUAUUAGGAGGAACACCAGUGGCGAAGGCGGCUUACUGGACUGUAACUGACGUUGAGGCUCGAAAGCGUGGGGAGCAAACAGGAUUAGAUACCCGAGUAAA